rnacentral:rRNA from 1 species
UACAGAGGGGGGCAAGCGUUUAUUCGGAAUUAUUGGGCGUAAAGGGCGCGUAGGCGGCCAUUCAAGUGACGGGGUGAAAAGCCCUCGGCUUAACCGAGGAACUGCCUGUCAAACUGCAUGGCUUGAGACCGGGAGAGGUGAGUGGAAUUCCCCAGUGUAGCGGUGAAAUGCGUAGAUAUCGGGAGGAACACCAGUGGCGAAGGCGACUUCCUGGCCUGUUCUUGACGCUGAGGCGCGAAAGCUAGGGGAGCAAACGGG